UACCGAGUCGCCUGUCGCGGGUGCCGCCAUGUUGGUGAGGAGAAAUCACCGUUACGGCCACUGUCCAAAUCCCCGCGUCGCUGCGCGCCGCCCGCCCGCUCCCAAGCCUCAGCCACCGGCGGCGAAUAGAGACUAAAGCGGCAGCGCCGGCAGCGCGGGGCCGUGGCCCAGUGUUUGCAGUUAGAGCCCCACCUCUCUGGCGUGGUUGUUAAUAGACUGGAAAGUCUGUGUCUGUGUCGCUCACUAGUAACCGUGAGUUUUUACCACUUCGUCACCUCCCGGCGGCGGCCGGGAGCAGGUACCCGCAGGCGGCGCAGGGAUCCUCCCCGCGCCCCGCCGCCGCCGGCCUCGCAGACCUGCCCUCCAGCCCCGCCCCGUUCUUGACCAAACAUGACAGACUCUGAACAUGCAGGGCACGACAGAGAAGAUGGUGAAUUAGAAGAUGGUGAAAUAGAUGAUGCAGGAUUUGAAGAAACACAAGAACAGGAAGCAAAAGAGGAUGAAAAGCAGAAAAAUGAGAAAGCCUACAGAAAAUCAAGGAAAAAACACAAGAAAGAAAAAGAGAAGAAAAAGUCCAAAAGGAGAAAACGUGAGAAACAUAAGCAUAAUUCUCCAUCCAGUGAUGAUAGUUCGGACUACAGCCUUGAUUCAGAGGUCGAACAUACAGAAAGUUCCCACAGAAAAAGAAGUGGUUUCUACAGGGAUUAUGACAUUCCAUUUCCUCAGCAUGGACAUAUAUCAGGAAGCUACAUGGCAUCAAAGAAGAGUCAACAUAACAGAAAAUUUAAAAGUAAAGAAUAUGAUGAGUACAGUACCUACAGUGAUGAUAACUUUGGUAACUACAGUGAUGACAACUUUGGUAACUACAGUCAGGAAACAGAGGAAGAUUUUGCCAGUCGGCUGAAACAAUACAGGCAAGCUAAAGAAACCUCAAAUACUGCUUUAGGAUCAUCCUUUUCUAAAGAACCAGGGAAAAAACAAAGAUUGAAAGGGAUUCAGCAAGGUAUUGAACAGAGGGUUAAAAGUUUUAAUGUUGCUCGUGGACGCGGCUUGCCGAAGAAAAUCAAACGCAAAGACCGUGGAGGAAGGGCCAAUAAAGGGCCUAAUGUGUUUUCAGGAACAGAUGACUUUCAAGAGUAUAGUAAACCAGGGAAAAAAUGGAAGGUUAUGACUCAGGAAUUUAUUAAUCAGCACACAGUGGAACAUAAAGGAAAACAAAUCUGUAAAUACUUUCUGGAAGGGAGAUGUAUUAAGGGAGAUCAAUGUAAAUUUGAUCAUGAUGCAGAGUUGGAGAAGAGAAAAGAGAUCUGCAAAUUUUAUUUACAAGGAUAUUGUACCAAAGGAGAGAACUGCAUUUAUAUGCAUAAUGAAUUUCCAUGCAAGUUCUAUCAUAGUGGAGCAAAAUGUUACCAAGGAGACAACUGUAAAUUUUCACAUGAUGAUCUCACUAAAGAAACAAAGAAACUUUUGGACAAAGUGUUGAAUACUGAAGAAGAAGCUACAAAUGAAGAUGAAAGAGAGUUAGAAGAACUUAGAAAGCGUGGCAUAACUCCUCUUCCCAAACCGCCUCCAGGAGUUGGGCUUCUGCCAACCCCACCAGAGCAUUUUCCCUUUUCUGAUCCCGAAGAUGAUUUUCAGACAGAUCUCUCUGAUGAUUUCAAGAAAAUUCCAUCUCUCUUUGAAAUAGUUGUAAAACCUACUGUGGAUUUAGCACAUAAAAUUGGGAAGAAGCCACCAGCAUUUUAUAACAGUGCCUCACCACCAGGACCACAAUUUCAGGAAAGCAGCCCACAUACUCAACAUAUGUAUAGUUCUGGGUCAAGUCCAGGUCCCGGACCUAAUAUGUCUCAGGGACACAAUAGUCCUGUGAUGCACCCAGGCUCCCCUGGACAUCAUCCAUGCGCAGGACCUCCUGGUCUACCAAUGCCGCAGAGCCCACCUUUGCCGCCUGGUCCACCUGGAAUUGUAGGCCCUCACAGUCAAGCGGGAGUACUUGUUCAACCGGAUACACCUUUGACACCACCAAAUAUGAGUGGCGCUUACCAUUGCCCUGGCUUUCCAGAACACAUGAUGAAAGUACCUAGAGAGAAUCACUGUUCUCCAGGUUCAUCACACCUGCAAAGUCCUGGUGAAAUGCAGCUCAAUACCAAUUAUGAGUCCUUACAAAACCCAGCUGAGUUUUAUGAUAAUUACUAUUCACAGCAUGCUGUACAUAAUUUUCAGCCACCCAAUAACUCUGGUGAUGGGACGUGGCAUGGUGAAUUUGCCCAGCAUCAGCCUCCUAUCGUUCAAGACUCACCUACCCGCGGCAGUGGGUCUGACAGCAGCAGUAAUGUGACAGGCCAUGGCCCCCUGCCUGCACCAGGUCUCCUCCCUGCAGUGCAGAGAGCUCUUUUUGUUAGACUUACUCAGAAAUACCAAGAAGAUGAAGAACCAGGCAGCACCCAACCUCAGAGGGCACCAAGCAAGGAAGAAGGUGUGUCAGAUGAUACUGUUAACUGGUAUUCCAGUAGUGAAGAGGAAGAAGGAAGCAGUGUCAAGUCAAUACUGAAAACAUUGCAGAAACAAACAGAAACUUUAAGGAGUCAACAACAACCUUCCACAGAACUCAGCACUCCUACUGAUCCAAGACUUGCUAAAGAGAAAAAUAAAGGAAACCAAGUGGUUGACCCUAGACUUAGGACUAUCUCAAGGCAAGACGUUAGAAAAUCUUCUGAGUCUACCCCACUGGAUCUUAGACUUGCGUGGGAUCCCAGGAAAUUAAGAGGGAAUGGAAGUGGUCACGUAGGUUCUUCUGUUGGUGGAGCAAAGUUUGAUUUACAUCAUGGAAAUGCUGGCCCUAAUGUCAAACACAAAAGAGGAGACGAUGACGAUGAAGAUACAGAAAGAGAACUGAGAGAAAAAGCUUUCUUAAUACCUUUGGAUUCUUCCCCUGGUAUAAUGCUCCAGGAUCCAAGGUCACAACUGAGACAGUUUAGUCACAUUAAAAUGGAUAUUACCCUAACCAAACCCAACUUUGCAAAACACAUCGUGUGGGCUCCAGAAGACUUACUUCCAGUCCCUUUACCUAAACCUGACCCAGUAUCUUCAAUCAAUUUACCUCUGCCCCCUCUUAUAGCUGAUCAGAGGCUCAGUAGGUUGUGGAAUACAAAAAGUGAUCUUCGUCAAAGCACAGUGCCCACUGAUGCAAAACUAGCAGGCAAGGCCAAAAUUAACACAGCAAACAGAGAAGGCUACCUAGAACAAUUUGGAGACGCACAUAGUUCAGGAAGUAAGUUAGGAGACCCUAGGCUGCAAAAAAGUUUUGAUCCUAGACUUCACAGACUGCAUAGUACAGAGUCUCAUCAAGCAGUUAUGAAGGAUUCACAUACAUCAAAGGGUGCCCCUCAUGUAGCCAGAUCAAACUCUGGUUCAUCACAGCCCUUAGGGGCAGUAUCUAGCAAUUCUGGUCCUGGGGCUUUGCCUCCAUAUGCCCCUAAACUCUCAUCUUCAGCUGGCCUUCCCCUGGGAACUCCAGGUUCAGUCCUUAGUGCUAUUAGUUUGUAUGACCCUAGGGAGCAUAGUUCAUCAUCUACAUCAGAGCCAGCAACAGAAAAUGCAGAGAGCCAGAAAAAAAGUGGUGGUUUAAAAAGUAGUGAUAAAAACGAGCCUCCUACUGGAGAAGCAGUCCUACCACAGAAAAUCGCUCCAAACGUGGACGUCCCUGUUGAUGGGCCAGCUGACCCAGAGGCAGAUAUUCUUGGGAGUUCCGGUACCGUUCAGGUCCCAGCAGUGCACAGUCUUCCGAUUCAGGCAUUAACAGGCUUAAUUAGACCCCAGUACAGCGAUCCAAGACAGUCAAAGCAGCCGGGUCAGGUGAGCCCCACCCCAGAUGAUGACCCUCGUAGAGCAACAGAUGACAAAUCUCUGAAAGAGGUUUUUAAAACUUUUGAUCCAACUGCUUCACCGUUUUGUUAGCUAUUGUGUAAUUAAGCAGUUCUUUUCACUCUUGUGACUAUUGCAGUCCCCUGCUGUUUUGUAACUGGUUUACCUCUAUAGUUUAUUUAUUUUUAAAUUAUAAACACUUUUCAGCUGCUAGUAUCAGAACCACAUGAAGUUAUAUCCUCUAAAGCCUGUGGUAUUUUAUAUAAUAUUUUUAUAAUUUUAAGAGACUGUAGUAAUUGACAUAGAAACCUAUAUAUCACGUUAGCUUCAGUAAAAGUACUUUUAUUGUAAAUAAACCAUCAUGAACUCAACACUCUGCCUGAAUAUAUGCCAGUUGUCUUUCAUAAUCAGUGUUUAGAUAAAUGAUUACCACUUUUAUAUGGUUAUUAGUUUCAAGCAAUAUAAUGUACAUUACUUUUCAGAAACAGUAUUUUGACUAGGAUCCUAUUUGUCAACACAGAACUGAUUAAUAUGUAAUGCUGACUGCUAGCUAAAAUGUAAAAUGAAGUAAAACAUUUUUAAAAUCAUAAUUAGCAGAGCAGUUCAUGUUUAAGGGCAUCACUUUUAUUAGUACUGGCAAUAUUAUUUGUGUAAAUGAAGCAUUUGAAUGUUGUACCUUUUAAAAGUAUUUUAUGGUAUACUGUAUCAUAGAAGUUGGAGAUAUAUAAAUAGAAUGUUUUGCUAAAAUGAAAAAUUCCCGAGUUCUCUAACAUAACUUUUUAAUUUUUCAUAUUAAUAGUUAUGAGUUACUGCUGUGUUACAUUAUGAUGUUUAUGCGUUUCGAUGUUUUUUGUCUUUAGCAGCAUAAUUUAUAUUACUUUUUCAAAUGAUGUAGCUGCAAUAAUUGUAUUCAUCAUGACUUUGGCAAUUUUUAACAAAAUUUUAAAAGAUCCAGUGAGUCUGUGGUGAUUAUUUCAUUGAUAAUGUUUUAAAUGUCCAGGUUCUAUAUUUUUUCUUAAAUAGCGAGAAAACACAGAGAUGGUAUAGUCAACUGUAUAUGGCUACCAAUAAAGAAUCUCUUUCAGAUCUCACCUGACUGGCAUUCUAUAACAGAGGAGACUGCCUGGUGUUUUAAUGUAUUCAAUGUCGUCAUAGUUUGGAAACCUCCUGAAUUGAUUAGAGGUUGUAUUUUUAUGAAAAAUAAUUUGUACUCAUUCUUGUAUAUUUAUUGCAGUAUAUAAAUAAUGGCAACCCUACCUGUUUUAUACAUAUAUUAUUUAUAACUAAAACUAAGUAGUACACUUAGUUUCAGGCUAAGUGUAUAUAUUAAUAUCUUGAACUAGAGGUAUGUGACAGUAUUUGCUAGUAACAACUCUAAUAAGUAACUUGAAAAGGAGUAUUUCAUUAUAAAAGAUAAUGGAAGUAGAGGAAAUCAGUCCUUGAGAAGUGAUUUUUAAAAUAUACAGCAAAAUAUUUAUGUGGGAACCUAACACUCAGAUAGCAUAUGGUUUAAUACUAAUGUAUAUCCUUUCUAUUCCCUUCUUCACUUUUUACUUUUUUUGCCCUGAUUCCGUGCUUAAAUGGGGUUGCAGUUAAGUGAACAAGAAUUCUGCCUGCCUACCUAAGAAGUUCAUUGUGUUCUAAGUGGAAGGACAGUUGUUCAAGGGAAUUUUGCAAACUCUUGCCUCAUUGGCUUGUGACAGCCAUCCAACUGGGAUAGUGGAGUGAAAGAGAAGAGACCAUUAUGGCUUGUUACAAGGAAUACAAAGAGAAUGAAGGUAAUAUUCAGCUUUAACACUCAAAAAUGGGAUUUUGCAGCAAUAUCAUAACCUGGUUUGAAAUAAUUAUCUGAAUUCCUUUAUCACCCCUGCAACAUAUCAAUGACCAGAGUUUUGCUUAAAAAGGGGGCAAACAAAAGAGAAAUGUGGUGGAGGAAGGAAGCCUUUUUCUUUCUAUCCCUGGAGAAUUCUAAGAAAAAGCAUAAGAGGAAAGGAGAAGAGGGGAUUGAUCAGAUGGGUGUCCAGAAUUGUUUUCCUGGGGGUUGUGGGUAACGAGAGCUUUGAUUUCUGUCUGAGAUUCUGGGAGGAGACUGUAGUGCAGAGGUCCCAUCACUGAUGUGGGGCAGCCAAGGUUACAUGGAAGUAUUUGCUCAGGAUGUCCUGAUUCUCCUGGGGCACUCUCAAACCUGUGUGUCCAUGGGUGCCCUCUGUGAUAAGAUGUGGUGACCACACAGCAGAAGCCAGGGAAGGGGUCAUUAAGAGCUUAAGCCAUUAGGAGCCAAGGAGAAGCAAAGGCAGUGAGGGCAGUUGUCUUAUGCUCCCUGGGAGCACUUCCCAAGCCGAAGAAAGGGCCACAGUUUACCCAGGUGUAGAUACGGCAUGAGAGGCCAGUAGGUGUUGUGGACAGUGAUCAGAGCAAUGGAUUUCAACCAGUGGCCACUCCAGGAUCAGCACAAAGCUGCCGGGCUCACUACCCCUACCCCCAAGCCAAAAAAUGUGUGUGCAGACUACAGGGCUCACUACUGAACCUCCCCCCCCCCCCCCCCCCCCCCCCCCCCCCCCUCCACACACACACCCCUAGAUGCCAUCUUAGGAGAGACUGAAUCCUACUAAGCUUUUAAACCAGCUUGGACAUCUAAUUUUCUCCUGCUGAUCAUUGGGUGUGAACUCAGGAGAAAGGCCAGACAGUCUAUUUUGUUAUGGACAAAAUAAGCAAACAAAAAACCUUUCCAUAUCUGAGUUGUGUGAGCUAAAAUCUGCAACCCAAGAGACACUGAAGAGCAGCUUACUUUCCAUCAAGCAUCUGGAGUUUGUAGUUCCCCCAGGCUCACGACAGCAGACAGGGCAACAGAAGUUCAGUGUUUACUCUGAGGCCUCGUCCACUAUUUCCAUGGAACACUGGCUCAGAGAGUUCACCAGAUGUCCAAUUCUUACACAGAACCCAAGAGUUUACUGAGACAAUAUCUCAUUACAUGUUCCAGGAGGUGGUGUUGGCAGUUUAGUUACUGCCAUCCAUUUCCAGGAAGGCAGCAGACCCUGAAAUUUGGCAAUGUGUUGUUCAAGAGGGCUUCAGUGUACAUAGAAAGGAAGAGAGUGUCAUGGGUGAGGCCAAGCAAGCAUAGUUGUAAGAUAGGUUAGAUAGAAAAUUAAUUUAAAUGAGUCUCAGAGGAAAAAUAAAGGCUAUGGAUAAGGCUAAACUGUGGUUUCAUUUAAUGAACUGAAUACAAGUUUAAGUACAACUAAAAUGGACAUAGUUGACCUAGGAAGCAGUGAGACAGCCUCACAAAGGUUUGCAUUCGUUUUUACAACUGCUCUAAGACUGAUUUGGAAAUCUUAAGUUGGUAUUCUAUCAAGGCCCCGUCUAUGGGAUUGGGUUGUCUCCUCAUUUGAGGAAUGAAAUUUAAUUUGAGGAAUGAAAUUUCUUGUUCCAGAUUCAAAAUUAUAAAUAUAUAUGUUUCUGGA